UACGGAGGGUGCUAGCGUUGUUCGGAAUUACUGGGCGUAAAGCGCACGUAGGCGGCUUUUUAAGUCAGGGGUGAAAUCCCGGGGCUCAACCCCGGAACUGCCCUUGAAACUGGAGAGCUAGAAUCUUGGAGAGGCGAGUGGAAUUCCGAGUGUAGAGGUGAAAUUCGUAGAUAUUCGGAAGAACACCAGUGGCGAAGGCGACUCGCUGGACAAGGAUUGACGCUGAGAUGCGAAAGCGUGGGGAGCAAACAGG
rnacentral:rRNA from 1 species